CGCUUUCUGUGUGAACAUAGGGGGUCGUGCCUUCCCGGUGAGCAUACGAGCUUAAACGGACGCGGUAAAUCGUGCUAAGGUAGCUAAGUUAUGGCCUAUUAAUUGUAGGUCCUGUGAAUGGUUUGACGAGUUCUCGACUGUCUCGAGAUUAUUUUGGUGAACUUGAAUUAAAAGUGCAAAUGCUUUUAUGGGUAAGAAAGACGAGAAGACCCCGUGAAGUUAGAAAUUCCUAUUACCACGUUAAUCUCCAAUGGUUUUCCAUGGUUUUAACAAGGUUUUAUUGGUUUAGGUAUUGGUGGAGUGUUUUAAAGUAGAAGAAUGUAAUUUUGAUGAGUUUUGGCUGGGGCAGCGAAUAGGCAAAACUAGACCUUUUUUUUUAUUAAACGGGUGCGUUACGACCCACAGAAAUAAAAGGUGUGAUUAGCAGAAGAAGUUACUCCGGGGAUAACAGCGUAAUCCGCCCCGAUAGUUCUUAUAGACGGGCGGGUUUGCGACCUCGAUGUUGGCUCUGGAUAUCCUGAGGCUUGUAGGUGGUCUCAAGGGUUGGUUCGUUCGCCCAUGAAAAUCCG
rnacentral:rRNA from 1 species